CUGUAGUUUUCAUAGCUCGAGAAAAUCCCGAGCGCGAGAGUCCGACUCCACUCAGCCUCUCAGCCUCUUCCCGUCCGCGCCGAGGCUGCCCG